rnacentral:rRNA from 1 species
AUGGAACAGCUGAGGUCAUAUGGUCCUGUUUUGUGGUGUGACAAUCUAGGAGCCACUUAUUUAUCUGCGAAUCCGGUAUUCCAUGCCAGAACCAAGCACAUAGAAGUGGACUUCCACUUUGCUCGUGAACGAGUUGCAGCCAAGGCACUUGAUGUUCGAUUCAUAUCUUCCAAGGAGCAAGUUGCAGAUAUAUUCACAAAGCCUCUAGCUGAGGUGCCGUUUGUUUUAAAUAGGCACAAUCUGAAUCUUUGUGUAGAAGUUCAGAUUGAGGGGGAAUGUUAA